rnacentral:rRNA from 1 species
AAAUUGAAGAGUUUGAUCAUGGCUCAGAUUGAACGCUGGCGGCAGGCCUAACACAUGCAAGUCGAACGGUAACAGGAAGCAGCUUGCUGCUUCGCUGACGAGUGGCGGACGGGUGAGUAAUGUCUGGGAAACUGCCUGAUGGAGGGGGAUAACUACUGGAAACGGUAGCUAAUACCGCAUAACGUCGCAAGACCAAAGGGGGGAGACCUUCGGGCCUCUUGCCAUCGGAUGUGCCCAGAUGGGAUUAGCUUGUUGGUGGGGUAACGGCUCACC